GUUUUCCACAUGCAGUGCUUGGCUGUGUUGGAGGCCACCAAGAAAGACUUCCUGGCUGUCAUGUGGAAGCUAAGUGGGCUGGGGUCAAAAGGGUUUCUGGCCAUGGUGCUUGUGCUGCAGUGAUCUUGUUCUCCAUCACACUCCAACACAGGUAGCCAUCUUCACCCUCUCCCAAGAGUGGUUUGACUUGUGCUACACAGAGGUGAGUCCAGUUAUGCUGCAAGAAGUGUAAGUAUGAUGGGGUUGACGAGUAGGAGGAGAGGUUCUUCCUGUGCAAGGUGCUGCUCUCUCUUCUUUCAGCAUAGCUCCUGGUCUCAGAACAGGUUUAGUUCAUCGUUGCUGGUGUUGUGUAGAGGAUGUUAUAUUGUGAAAGUCACAACUAUCCCUGCUCAAGGUCUUGUGAAAUAUUUGACCUUAUUUGUGACUAUAUUCACCGUGAUGCUUUCAGCAGUUACUACAUUAGUGUCCUUAAUUUUUUACUAUUUAAAGAUUGUUUUAAAGUUUAUUACAGGCUCAAUGAAUGUUCUUCUCCUUCACUAGAAGAUAAAGGCCCAGUUUCACAGACAGGGUUUACAUUAAGCCAGGAUUAGAUCUUCGAUCAAUUAGGACAUUUCAGUAGCUUUUAUAAACGUGUCUUAGAAAAAAAUAUUUCUGGUGCACAUCCUGAGAUAAAACAAUGGCACUGACGUGUUUUAAGAUCCAUCCGUGCAAGUAGCUUUCAGUUAAAACAGCUCAGACAUACAUUUUAGUCUGGGACUAGGAUUAAGCCUUGUCUGUGAAACUAGGGGACAAAGAAGAAG
ensembl:lncRNA